AAGGGUAGAGCUCAAUGGUAGAGUGUGUGCUUAGCAUGCAGGAGGUCCUGGGUUCAAUCCCCAGUACCUCUG
rnacentral:tRNA from 1 species